rnacentral:tRNA from 1 species
GGGCCCGUAGCUCACUUGGUAGAGUGCCUCGAUGGCAUCGAGGAGGUAACCGGUUCGAUCCCGGUCGGGUCCA